GGGGAUUUAGCUCAGUGAUAGAGCGCUUGCUUAGCAAGCGCAAGGCCCUGGGUUCAGUCCCCA
rnacentral:tRNA from 1 species